CUAUCCUGGAAAAUCGGCGCAUGCGCAACUUACCACUACGAUAUUUACACAUACACACAACUAUGUUCGCGUCAUCGGCGCAGUUAUCCACCGCUUCACUCUCCCUAUGCCCUUCCAUUUGACACGAUACUACUUGCCGGUGACCUACACUUCAUUCCUUUCCCGAUUCCUUCGUGAAAUUAUCGAAAUACAUGUCAAAUACCAGGCGUACGUACCAAAGGGAGGUAGGAAUCCUUCAAGCACUAAUCUUAACAUUUAUCGACAUUUCAUAUCAUUUUUUUCGUACAUCACGGGUAUAUUGUAUAAGUUUAUUUUUACUUAUAUUCGCGUUUCUCACGAAAACUACGACUGCCGAUGACCUAUACACAUUUUUUUUCUCAAUUUUCUCGAAGAGAAACCAGCAAAUUGCUGAAAUACCUGGAAUAUAUGUGUGGUAACAGAGAUAGAAAUUCUUCACUCACCCACCAAUCUUUAUCAGUGUUUUAUAUCAACUUCGUGUUUCUGAUGUAUCAUAUAAUUUAGUUAAUUACAAUAAUGAUAUAAAAAGUGUAAUUGAAUUGCAUUUUUUGGAAAAAAUAAGUCCAAAAGAAAUUAAAUAAAGAUACGAAGGUUGGUGAGAUAAGGGUAAAUCAAUAAUGGACUCGGUGUUGAACCUAAAAUUUCUCUCAGCGCUACUGUAUUAGAUAUCAAAUUGAAGAAUUUACACGUAUAACGAUUACAAAUUUUUUUAUUCAGUUUAAAAAUUUAAUACAAAAUAAUUUUAUUAAUUUAUUCUUUUAUAUGAUCAAUAUUCUUUCAUUCGUAUUAUUAAUAAAAAUCGUUAUCAAAUUA